UACGGCUCAGUAACACGUCGUUAACUUGACCUACGGUUGAGGAUAGCCUUGGGAAACUGAGGGUAAUACUCAAUAGAUGUUUUAUGCUGGAAUGCUUAAACAUUCAAAUUCGCGCCGUAGGAUAGGACGGCGGUGGAUUAGGUAGUUGGUGAGGUAACGGCUCACCAAGCCGACGAUCCAUAGGGGCGAUGAGAGUCGGAGCCCCGAGAGGGACACUGAGAUACUGGUCCCAGCCCUACGGGGUGCAGCAGGCGCGGAAACUCUGCAAUGCACGAAAGUGUGACAGGGGGAUCCUAAGUGCUUACGUUCUGCGUAGGCUUUUGUCAAGAGCAAAUAUCUUGGCGAAUAAGUGGUGGGUAAGACUGGUGCCAGCAGCCGCGGUAAUCCCAGCGCCACAAGUGGCAUUCAUAAUUAUUUGGUCUAAAGCGUUCGUAGCUGGAUGUAUACAUCUUUUGUGAAAUCGGACUACUCAAUAGUUCGGAUGGCAGGAGACACGGUAUGUCUAGGGAUCGGGAGGAGUUAGGGGUAUGCCUUAGGGAGUGGUAAAAUAUGAUAAUCUAAGGUAGACCACCUGUGGUGAAGACGCCUAACUAGAACGAAUCCGACGGUGAGGAACGAAGGCCAGGGGAGCGAACCGGAUUAGAUACCCGAGUAGUCCUGGCAGUAAACGCUGUAUGCUAGGUG
rnacentral:rRNA from 1 species